AUGAAAAUUAGUUUAAAAAUAUUUUGAUGUUUAACUUUAUUUUUUAAACACCUGGAUUUCUCUCAAGUGUUUUUAUUCAAUCGGAAAUUGAAAUGAGAGAAAACUGAAGUGAGAGCACUGAUGUUCCCCCAUGAGAGCCUGAAGCAGUGUUGCCCUGUUAUGGCUCAAAGCAGUGAGUGGGGUCUUCAGUCUGCACAUAUGGGUCAGGGGCUGCUAUGCUGCUGGCUGUGCAAAAUCAGAACCAAAAGACUGCCCUUGUCCUCUACAUCUCCCCGUCUAACUCCAUCCUGUUAUCUCAGCUAUUUUUCUUCUGGAAAGCAGAAUUCCAGCAUCCCAUUAGGGAUUACUUCUUACUCUGAAUUAUUGAUCUAGGGUAUGUGAAUCUGAGACACAUCUUGAAAUUAUUUCUCUACAAAAGCGUAUGUGGUGUGAGAUGAAUACCUCUGGAAAGGGAGAGAGCAGGACAACAAGUGCUGCUUGCUCAUGCUGAGCUUUGCCAAAGGCAGGUUUCCGUCUGGGGAUGAGGCAGGAGCUUCGUCGCUCUUUGCUGCUCUGCUCCUGUGCUCGAGUGGCCUUUGGCUGCUUCAAGUUUUACUGAGGUGGACACACAUGUACUAGGAAUUGGACUUGAGACUGGCAAUUAAUUUCACAUAAUACCUUUGUUGUCCCUGCCUUAGACCAGAUUUGAACUGGUGACCUGGAGAUGAAAGUCACCAUAGUCCCUUAAUAGUCCCUGGAGGCAGGCAGCCAGCCUCUUUGCUGGCUGUGCUAAAAGCCACCGCCAGCCUCUUUCCCUGCCUCCCUCAAGUUUAACCCUCUCCCCACCUCCUCCAGAUCUCCUUUUGUCUGCUGGGCAUGAUGGGGAUAAAAGGAAGAGCAAUGGGCUGUCUGUGGAGCCUUUUAACCCCUCGAGAUGGCCUGGGGUGAGUUGUGUGAGUCCCAGGGGUCCUCUGGUUGCUGAGGGGAUCGCAUCAGGUGGAGAUGUAUUUGCUGGAAUAGACAUGGGACUUGAUCAAGCCUGUAGCUGGAAUCCAUUUGAGGAGCAUGAGGCCCUCUCUGGUUCCUCCCAGUGUCAGGUAAUGUAUAUUAUUUAUCUGAUUCUCAUCCAGUCUUCAGCCUGCCCUCAUAGUGCCCUGCUUUGGCCCAUGGUGGCAAUUGCUGUGGUCUGGUGAAGACUAAGAAGUGAUGCGUGUGCUCUGGCAGCAGAAGGAGGCAGUGAGCAGUGAGGUCUGGGCUGCAGAAGACUCCCACACUGCAGUGUGAAGUAUUUUAUGGACUCUAAUAAAUUAAACCGUGUGCGCUCACUCUGCAAUGCAGUAGUAAUGAGCCAGCCUGAAUUCUGAAUUUAAAGAUAACAGGAGUGAAGCACGGAGUAACAUGCUCACUUUCAGAAGUCACAGGACCAUCUGACAGUACAAGUGGUAUGAAAUGUAGGAGCCUGGCUGUCCUGGGUGGUGGGAUGAGCUUCAGUCUCCUGCUCCUUUCCACAACGUACCCAAAUAUUCUCUCCCAAUAAACCUCCUUCUGCUUUUUGUAAGUUGUCUUUGAGGAGUUCCACAGAAAACAAGGCUUAUCGUCAUUAGCCAAGCAUUCUCUGUGUGAAGGAACACAGCUCCAUGGGGAAAAAAAAGGUCUGGAAAUCAGACAUCCUAAGGACCUUACAGAGCCUCUUAGGAGCGUGUGGGCUCCCGGCCCUGGUGAAGCAGAAGCUGCCUGCAGGCAGAGCAACCCCCACUUGGACAGCUCAAUGAAGACAUCACUCAUCAGGCGUCAGCCCUCUCCAGGGUAAAAGCAAGAGUUUGCAGAAGAUGGGCUGAAGCUUUCACUGUGGUUCUGGAGGACGCACAGGACAGCAAAGAAGCAGUAACCUGAAUGCAGUUGACUUCUGCCUGACACUCAACAGUUUAUUGUGGUCCCCAUCCCAAAAACGAGCAUAGAGGCUCCCAAGCUGACCGGUUCUCUGCAUGCAGCAGCGGUGCCAGGUGAAAAAGGGCUUGCAAUGCAAUUAGCACACAACCACAGAGCCGUGCUUGGCACUUUGCUUCCCCUCGUGGAUUCAGGCACCAGCUGCACAACACAAAGCAGGGGAGGGGUGUGGGGAGAAAGAAGUGGACUUCAUUUUCAUUGGGAUUAGCUAAAGCUCCUUCCACUUUUAUGUUGGCAACACGAGGUUUCGUCAGACCUCUGAUCCUGCGCUGAAUAAAAAUAUAGCAUUACUGUCAAACUGUAA